CAUCCUCAUCCCGUGAACAACCAAACUAUCCUCCCCUGUUUCAACUUCAACGUCCUCAACCGAACCCAACAAUCUCCCAGCCAUCUUUCGGAUCCCAUGGAAUCUCCUAGCAUCCCACAGUCAGCCUCCGAGAUUAUUCCCAGCCGUCUUCUAGAUUAAUCCCAGCCAACUGCAAAUCAAAGUCAUCCUUAUCCCCUGCGUGAUAACAGAGGCUGUGAAGGCUAUAAAAGGGAAUCAAUGCAUGCAAGCUAGAGGCAUUCCUCCUCUCCCCCACCGGGGGGCAUUCCCUCUUCCCCCACUGGGGGGGAGGCUUCUCCCAACUCUCUUCACAGGCCAAGUUCCCACCGGGAGAAGAAGAGCUCGGUUUCACAGGUGAAGUUCCCACGGAAGAAGAUGAAAUAACAGGAGAGAGAAGAGUUUGGGUCUUUUUGGGAAUGCCUUCUCAAAAGAAAAAAAGAAAAUGAAGUGCUGAGGCAGAGGAAGCCGAUCGUGAUAGAAAUGGAAGCCCGCUGCUGUGCCACUNNN
rnacentral:lncRNA from 1 species